AACGGCAAUAGCUCCUUAACCCGUAAUCGACGAACAUAAGAAAGCUAAAGAGGGGCGGGCAAUGUGCGAGUGAGUUCCACAACAAGAUCAAUGUCCUUCUACGUACUGACGUCCCUGACGAAGAUACGAACAUUCUGACUUGCGCUUUUCCCCGUAAAUGUGACCUGAUUUUCAAUUUUGGAACCGGUGCUAUCGGGCGUUCACAGAUGGCAGUCGAAUAAUGCCUUUCUUCUUCGGCAAACACCAUGACAGUUAUUUUUCUUUAAAAAAACUCACUUUUAUAAAUGAACGUUUUUCGAUUAAUGAGUUUGCCUUAUAUGGGCUGUAAGGCAGCCCAUGAGCUGUCUAAAGUCGCGCAAUGCAAUAGAAAACAGCUGUUCCGAAAUGGAGCGAUUGUGCGAUCCGCGUCAUUUUCCCUUCCUCCCAUAACUUGUUUUCUCUUCUCAACGGUCACAACUCAUAGCCAAAACUACUUAUUUCCGUAUGCCAGGUGUGGUAAAAGCCAUUAGGACUUUAAAAAGAAAUUGGCAGAAAAUUGAGUACAUCUAACCAUAGCGAACACAAGUCACGCCAGGACGAAAUGGGGAAUCAUACAAUCAUAAUCUCACCGAGAGUUCAACAAGAAGGAGAGAAAAAAACAAAACAAAAAACCCCCCAAAAGUCAAGAGGAAGUGGGUAGAAGGAGCCUGAUGAAAAUGAGGACAAAGGAUGAAAACCAGAAAGAAGUGGCAGGGAAGCGCGCCAUUUUGGAUAGAAGGGGCUCAGAAUAGAGAGGAGAUAUAGAUAAAAGAAGGUUUGGAUUUCAUUGGCACCAUAGAACUUCCUCAGCAGCGCCACUUGUGUCCUUUGAAAGAAGUCAUGAGCAUAAAGGGUGGUACGCUUAUGAACAAAUGGACAAUGAAGCCCUACAUUUUCCGAAUACUGUUACUUAGAUGGUCAGCCGCUUGGUGUCGUCGUGAGCUUGUUGCCGGUGAUCUCCCAUACCCUACUGCUUCACUUGUGUAUCUGGCACGCAGGAAAAGCUUUCUUGUACAGUGCAGAGUAGAAGGGGACAGUUACACACAGCAGUGCACUGUUGAAGAGUAAAAGAAGAAAACGAGAAACGAAGAA